rnacentral:rRNA from 1 species
UUGGAGGGCAAGUCUGGUGCCAGCAGCCGCGGUAAUUCCAGCUCCAAUAGCGUAUAUUAAAGUUGUUGCAGUUAAAAAGCUCGUAGUUGAAUUUCGGGGUCAGCAGGUUGGUCGUGCCAAUGGUAUGAACUGGCCUUGCUGAUUCCUCCCUCUUGAUGAGCCGUAAUGCCAUUAAUUUGGUGUUGCGGGGAAUCAGGACUGUUACUUUGAAAAAAUUAGAGUGUUUAAAGCAGGCAAGCGCUUGAAUACAUUAGCAUGGAAUAAUGAAAUAGGACGUUUGAUCCUAUUUUGUUGGUUUCUAGGAUUGACGUAAUGAUUAAUAGGGAUAGUUGGGGGCAUUAGUAUUCAAUUGUCAGAGGUGAAAUUCUUGGAUUUAUUGAAGACUGACUACUGCGAAAGCAUUUGCCAAGGAUGUUUUCAUUAAUCAAGAACGAAAGUUAGGGGAUCGAAGACGAUCAGAUACCGUCGUAGUCUUAACCAUAAACUAUGCCGACUAGGGAUCGGAUGAUGUUAAUUUUUUAAUGACUCAUUCGGCGCCUUACGGGAAAC